GAGAGAGACAGACUGAGAGAGGUAUAUGUGUGUGUGUGAGUGUGUGUUUGUGUGUGUGAGAGAGAGAGAGAGAGAGAGAGAGACAGACUGAGAGAGGUGUGUGAUUUCGGUUCAUCCCGGCGGCUCUAUUUUCGGGUGUGAGACGCAGAAGGUGUGUGUGUGUGAGUGUGUGUGUGUGUGUGUGUGUGUGUCAGUGCAGCUGUGCCUGUCUGACUCUAACUGUCUCAGAAAACCUGUCAGAUCAUUUUUAGGCCUUUAUUUCUAGCAGGAAAUGAAAUCGUCUGCUAAUAGAACACCACCAUUUUAAGCUGAAUUUAUGAAAGUGUGUAGAAAUAGACUUAAUAAUCUUAUAUCUUUUUUUAAAUAAUAAUUUCAUAAUUAAAACUGUGAUACAUAUUUGCUGGUGUUCAUAAUAUUUUCUUUUUUAUAUUUUUGCACUGUAUUUCUCCCAGGUUCGGUAGCCACGGAUCAGUCCACCAAGGACAUUGUCUUUGACUGCGUCCCAGUCCACAGUGCUCCAGACCCUUACUGCUCCUCCUGCAGGUGAUGGGUCCACAAGACGAUGGUCCCAUGUAGCUCGUUUAGGCUGUGCCAUUGGGUAAAGUCCUGACCACCAGGCGCUUACCAUACUCCAGUCCAUACCAGGUCCCCAUUCACCCCAACAACAUAGCUCCUAGGAUCAGUGGGGAACACAUACCCCACCACCACAGUAAGGUAGUGAUUCAUGGAGGGGUAUCUCUGCCUGGGUAUCUCCGUGGAGGAGAUGGAGGAGGUGUGUGAAGAGAGGGAGGUCUGGGCAUCGCUGCUUAGAUGGAUAACUGGAAGAAAAUGGAUGGAUUUCUCAGAUAUCGCAUGAUGUACCGGGUAAACUCCACUUCAUCACCAGCGCUGCUUCAGGAAACUUCACUCCAACCGUCACUGAGGUCACAACUCCAUCCCCGAGAAACGCUUCCUCUGCCAACUCCACCUCUCCUCCAGUCUUUCAUCGUCCCACAGGAGUGUUCAGAGCUGCAGGAGUUCCAUGUUUCCAAACACAUACACACACACACACACACACUAACGUCAUGGUCUGGCUCUGUGUCAUGAACACACACACACAGUGAAUAUAAUGUGUUUCAUAACUGUU